AUUGAACGCUGGCGGCAGGCCUAACACAUGCAAGUCGAACGAGUGGAGGACGGGUGAGUAAUGUCUGGGAAACUGCCUGAUGGAGGGGGAUAACUACUGGAAACGGUAGCUAAUACCGCAUACCAUCGGAUGUGCCCAGAUGGGAUUAGCUAGUAGGUGGGGUAAAGGCUCACCUAGGCGACGAGCCCUAGCUGGUCUGCGAGGAUGACCAGCCCCACUGGAACUGAGACACGGUCCAGACUUCGACGGUAGGCAGCAGUGGGGAAUAUUGCACAAUGGGCGCAAGCCUGAUCCAGCCAUGCCGCGUGUGUGAAGAAGGUCUUCGGAUUGUAAAGCACUUGAAGUUGGGAGGCGUUACCAACAGAAUAAGCACCGGCUAACUUCGUGCCAGCAGCCGCGGUAAUUC
rnacentral:rRNA from 1 species